AUUGAACGCUGGCGGCAUGCCUUACACAUGCAAAUCGAACGGCAGCGCGGGAGCAAUCCUGGCGGCGAGUGGCGAACGGGUGAGUAAUAUAUCGGAACGUGCCCAGUAGUGGGGGAUAGCCCGGCGAAAGCCGGAUUAAUACCGCAUACGACCUACGGGUGAAAGGGGGGGAUCGCAAGACCUCUCGCUAUUGGAGCGGCCGAUAUCAGAUUAGGUAGUUGGUGGGGUAAAAGCCUACCAAGCCUGCGAUCUGUAGUUGGUCUGAGAGGACGACCAGCCACACUGGGACUGAGACACGGCCCAGACUCCUACGGGAGGCAGCAGUGGGGAAUUUUGGACAAUGGGCGCAAGCCUGACCCAGCAAUGCCGCGUGCAGGAAGAAGGCCUUCGGGUUGUAAACUGCUUUUGUCAGGGAAGAAAUCCUCUGGGUUAAUACCUCGGGGGGAUGACGGUACCUGAAGAAUAAGCACCGGCUAACUACGUGCCAGCCGCCGCGGUAAGAC
rnacentral:rRNA from 1 species